UGUAGAAUACUUGUUUUUAAAAAAGUUUAAUAGUUAGAGUAUGAAAAAUAAUUUUUUUUAUAUUAUUUGUUAGUAACCUAGAGUGAAAAUUAAAGGUAAUUGGCUAUAGCGAAAAGUACCGUAGGGGAAAGUUGAUGAAGAAGGCUGUAAAAAGUAAAAAUAGAAAUUUGUACCUUGUGUAUCAGGGAAAAUUUAUAUAGGUUAAGUAUUUAGAGAUCUCGAAAUAGAAUAUAGUGAUUUUUAUAAAAUUUUCUUUUUAGAAAAAAAGAAUUAAAUAUAAAAUUAAAAGUGAAAUGCUAGUUGAGUUUUAUAAUAUCUAGUUUUUCUAAAAAUAAAUUAAAUUUAGUUUUUAUACUGUAAGUGUAUAAAGUUAAAUGGCAGGAGGGACUAGCUUCUUGCGAAAAUAAACAUGGAAGAGUUAAAAAAAUAAAAAUUAAAAGUAAAUUAGGCUUAGAAGUAGCUAUAUUUAUAGGGUGUUUAAACUAGGUUAUGUUGGUUAUAUUAUUUUUAAAUAACUUUUUGAGGCAUAGAGAAAAUUAAUCUAAACUUUAAAGAGUAAGAUAUAAUGAUUUUAUUAGUAAAAUUUAUUAAGUAAAAAAAAAAUUAAAUAUUUGUGAAAAUUUAGUAAGGUGAUAUUAAUAUAAAGGAAUUCAGCAAAAAUUUUCUUUGCCUGUUUAUCAAAAACAUGUCUCUUUGAAAAUAAAAAGAGUCAAACCUGCCCGCUGAAAGUUUUUUAAGGGCCGCGGUAUUUUGACCGUGCGAAGGUAGCAUAAUCAUUAGUUUUUUAAUUGGAAUCUUGUAUGAAUGGUUAGACAAGAGAAACUCUGUCUCUUUAUUAAAAAUUGAAUUUAACUUUUAAGUGAAAAGGCUUAAAUAAGUUAAAGGGACGAUAAGACCCUAUAAAGUUUGAUAUAAAGUAUUAUUCAAUUUAAUUGAAAUUAAAGAUUUUAUAAUGCAGUUUAUUUUUUUGGGGUGAAAAAAGUAAAAUGUUUAAUAAUUGCUGUAAAUGUGAUACAUGUUAGUUGGAAUAAAUUUUUAAGAGAUCCUAAAUAAAGAUUAUAAGUUUAAGUUACUUUAGGGAUAACAGCGUUAUUUUUUUUGAGAGUACAUAUCGAAAAAAAAGUUUGCGACCUCGAUGUUG
rnacentral:rRNA from 1 species